GCCCAGCUGACAAGUUUCAAAUAAGACGAAAUGCGCUUCCUGGAU
rnacentral:hammerhead_ribozyme from 1 species